UCCUAUAAAUGUUCCUAGACUACCCGGCCAACCAAGGCACCUGAGAGGGGCAAACGUUCGUCCACCGUUGGAUGCAAGCGAUUCACUCCCGCUUUUCACCUCAGCCAUCCAUUGCGGUAAUUUUUUCGUCACCAGCUUUCUGCAAAUGAAUGCAUGACAAUUGGGCCCAACCAGGUGUGGAGCCGACAGGAAGAGACAGCCAGAACAGCUCGUUUGCGUAGCCUUUCUUUGUGUACGCGCGGCUCGAGACAGAGGCGACCAAUUCCGCUAGGGUUCUCGCCCGAAGCCUCAUUCGUCCGCCACUCCGCCUCCAUCCCCAGCCGCCACUCCCAUCCUGACCCACCUGCCGACGUGAGCGAGGAGGGAACGCGGGCGCCGCCGGAGAGCGGCCGCGGGGUGCUGCUGCGUGGAGCGCCGGUCACCACCGGUUGCGGGAGUCGCCGUGCGAAGAGUAGACGCUGCCGUCGCGGCUCCUCCAGAUCACCACUGGUCGCGCACGUCUCCGCCGGUGUGAAGUCAACGCCGACUCCCGCGUCUCUUCCUCGCCUUUCUGCUCAGAUCGAGCAGGGCAGGAACGGGCCGGCGGCGGCUCGUCUCUUUUCUCUCUCAAGAUCUUGCAAGGGAUAGUAUGCAAAACAAAAGCAUCUUCUCGUGGAUCUUCCAGCCAUCAAGCUUGCAGAUAGUGCAGAGGUUACAGAAGAGACCAUAUUAAUAUCAUUGAGGCGAGCCCUUGCUCAACACUCUGCUCUGCAAGCGGACGAUGGACACUGGGCUGUCGACUUCAGUGCAAUUAUGUUCAUUAUGCCUAUCUUGGUGUGUUCUUUAUUUACAUAUGGCACUAUAUUUUGAGCGACAGCGAGCGUGCCCGAGCGAGGAGAGGUCGGCGGCGGCUGGUACCCUGUGUACCCAUCAGUAAUGGUUCAACGAAUCCAACCUACACGCUUUUUAUUUUCGUUUCUUAGGUCCUUAGGCUGCUGAACGUGCCAUUGCAGACGAAGUGGGAGUCUCACAGGGAGGAGGAUCCGCCGCGCCCUCCUUGCUGCCUGUGCGCCGAGGGUGAAUUGGCGCUGCUCAGGCAGGCGGCGGGCACCAUACUUUCUUCCAGGACUGUGCCAAAAGUUGGUAUUAGGAUUUGAAGUAUUCUCCAUCUACAUGCUUCCAGGACUUCCUGCACCACCUCUCAUCUUCCUCCCGAUCAAGAUCGUGCCAAAAGUGAGGGAUUGCUCCUGGAGGUAAAGAGGACAGGAGUGGCACGGGGCAUGGACGUAGCGCGGACAUCACAGUGCCUUCCACACGCGCGCCACCAUGAGAUAUUAUAUGGAGAAGCAGCAUCCGACGAGGGUUCUGAUCAGAUGCACGAAGGCUUGGUUGCAGUGGCUAUUUUAUUUUGUUUACUGGUAUUCAGGUGUGUUUCUUUCGUUUGGUGCUGCCCUGCUUUACCAUAUGCUACUUGACUCAUAUUUCUCUCCUCGCUUCUACUCUUGCGCUUUGCAGAAUCUUGGAUUUGGUAUCCUUGUCCUGGGCUAUUGUUCUGUGCUCAGCUGCAUGUUUUGAGAUUUGGUUUGGUAGCAUUAGUCUUUUGAGGUUGCAGGCUUGCAGCCGGAACCUUCACACACUAAAAUAAUUAGGAAUUAGGAAAUCUGAGAACUGAUUCACUGUUGUUUUAGUCAAUACACCAUUCUUUUUUUGGAAACUUGAAACUAACUACAUUUGGUUUAACCUCAUGUUUUUUCAGCUUAGAAUUACAAAAUCUGUAACAUAUAAAGGUAUAGAAUUACAGUUCACGGUAUGAAGUGAUGUUACAGUUCAGACCUAAGUUCUGUAUGAAAUGAUGUGUUUUCAGCAAGUAUUUGUUGCCUGAGAAGGAAAAUUACGUGUUGACAUGUGACAUGCAUAUGUGGUUUUUCUCAAAGCAUGUUUUGAACUUGGCUUAAUUUCUUGGGUU